GAUUCGUCGGCUGUUAAGAGCGAUGAAUCUCUUUGGUGAAUCUGCGCUGACAGGUUUUUAGUGACAUGGAUGAAUCUUCGGGGGUGAAUCUCGUGGGUCUUUUGGUGACCUGGAUUCAGGCUAGCUGAAUCGGCUUUGGCAGUAAUGUUGUCUUUGUCUCUUCGCCGGAAUCGGGACCUGAACCCCAGCCUUUUUUUCACCAUUUGGACUGUGGUUGACUUCGAUUACGGUUUCCCACACCACCUGUUAGCACUUGAUAUUUAUAGACCCUUGGUGAUAUGAAUUGCAAUAUAUUCGACAAUACACGAAGUACACAUAUUUGACAUUGUACGUAAUAUUUGGUUUUUGAGGUUUAGUAUUCUUUAUCUAUUACACACUUACAACAACUUAGAAUAUUGUCUAGAAUUCUGCUUACAAAAUAUAAUAUUUUCGUUUAGAGGAGCUAUUAUUUAUAUAGCAACUAAGUCAAGGCCAUCUCACAUCUUGAAUGUAAAAAGUUCAAGAUGUCCGUGUGAUCCACAGGCUUUGGGAGAGUAAUCCUCAAAUUCCAAAUUUGUUCACGCACGUAUACGAUAUAACGUAAUACGGAAUACAAUGCACAUACGGGGACUGUAGUUCGAACAGGUGUAGAGGAUCGGGGGUGCUUUUCCCACCUGGGCAGGAACAACAUGGGCCACACUCUUGGCGUUGUCGAUGCGGAAGUUUUGUUGCCAAGGAUGAAGCCGGAGGAACCGGUGGGCCAUGGCCGUCCGAGGAAACCUGAGUCCUCCGACGCCGAGCUCGUCCAUCAUUUUUCUGGCGCGUAUGCCUUCAUGAAUUUUUUUCUGGAACGGGGUCAGUUGAUUGAAUCCGUUGCGCUAUUCCGGGGAAAGGGAGCCUUUGAGCGUUGAAAUAGGCCAAGAGUGCUUCUGUGGAGAACUUUGAUACCAAGAAGUGAUGGUAACCUGUACGUCUGAGGGUGCGGUUUGAGUGAGGAUUGUUUGAGUUGAUGCGCACUAUUUCAGUUCGUGUGCUUCACCGAGCUAAUGUUGCACAUUGAAGUGGUCGUGCUUCUCUUAGUCUGAAGUGCAUAGCUCUCGUGCGACGAGUGGUUAGUGUAAGGUUGGAGCUUAUCUGUGCCGUCUACCUGUCGAUUCCUUGCUCCGUUACUAACGUAAGAGCAAGGCUUCGGUGUAAAACUUGUCGGACGAAAUGGCUUGCUGUACACUAAUAGAGAGGACAAGGAAUGUGAUGUGUUGCUCUGACAUUCUGAUGUGUUGUAUCAAUCCACUAGUUGAAUGCUGUGUCUGUACUCUUGUGAAGAGGUUUUAUGUGUA